rnacentral:snoRNA from 1 species
CUGGCCCUGCAUCAAGAUUAGUGGUUUGCUACAGCUGUUGGUUUCAAGCAGGAGUCAAGAGUCAUGUCUUCUUGUGGGCUGUUCGUUGCUCGGCAUCCCAGUGUGAGUGACCAAUUUAGUUGGAAGCCACAUGG